AAUAACCAGUUACUAUCCUUCCAUUCCUUACUUGAGGGGCUGGACACCGAGUCACUGAAAAGACAAAGUUUCAACAAGCAUACAGUACUGAAGAAAUGGGGUUGUUAUGUUGGAAUCAACCAUUGUAUGUCUUUUCAUCCCAGCAGUCCUAAUUAUAGUUGCAGAUACACAUCAGAAGAGAGGAUUAAUGCUCCUCAGCUGGAAAAUUGGAAAGAACGUCAGUCAACAGUGAGAAUGUUAACUACAAUUCUGUGCUAAGGGCAAAGAACGCAGCAAUAUUACAAACAUUGUUUUAAUAGUGUAAGACUAGGGACGUGGGUGGUGCUGUGGUCUAAAACCACUGAGCCUCUUG